rnacentral:rRNA from 1 species
UACAGAGGGGGCAAGCGUUGUUCGGAAUUACUGGGCGUAAAGGGCGCGUAGGCGGCCUUCUAAGUCGAACGUGAAAUCCCCGGGCUCAACCCGGGAACUGCGUCCGAUACUGGAAGGCUUGAAUCCGGGAGAGGGAUGCGGAAUUCCAGGUGUAGCGGUGAAAUGCGCAGAUAUCAGGAGGAACACCGGUGGCGAAGGCGGUUCUCUGGGAAUGUCCUGACGCUGAGGAGCGAAAGUGUGGGGAGCGAACAGG